rnacentral:rRNA from 1 species
ACGAACGCUGGCGGCGUGCUUAAGACAUGCAAGUCGUGCGAGAAAGUCACCUUCGGGUGGCGAGUACAGCGGCGCACGGGUGAGUAACGCGUGGGUAAUCUACCCCCGGGUCUGGGACAACUCCGGGAAACUGGAGCUAAUACCGGAUAAGACCAAGAGAUCCUCGGAUCUCGCGGUAAAAGGUGGCCUCUUCUUGAAAGCUAUCGCCUGUGGAUGAGCCCGCGUCCCAUUAGCUUGUUGGUGAGGUAAAAGCUCACCAAGGCCGCGAUGGGUAGCUGGUCUGAGAGGAUGAUCAGCCACACUGGAACUGAGACACGGUCCAGACUCCUACGGGAGGCAGCAGUCGGGAAUCUUGGGCAAUGGGCGCAAGCCUGACCCAGCAACGCCGCGUGAGGGAUGAAGGCCCUCGGGUCGUAAACCUCUGUCGAGAGGGAAGAAAGUCACGGGGUUAAUAUCCUCGUGAUCUGACGGUACCUCCAAAGGAAGCGCCGGCUAACUCCGUG